CUUCCGGCGCGCGGGGCGGAAAGCGGGCGCGUCUGCGACUGGGAGGGGGUCGGAGAGAAGCCACAAAGCCCGGGCUGCAGACGCGGUUCUGCAGGGUUGGCCUGUAUUUCUUUUAGAGACAGGGUCUCACUCUGUCGCCCAGGCUGGAGCGCAGUGGCGCGAUCUCGGGUCACUGCAACCUCCAACUUUUGGGCUCAAACGAUCUUUCUGCCUCAGCCUCCCGAGUAGCUGGCACUACAGGCAUGUGCCAUCACGUCCGACUAAUUUUUAAAAUUUUUUUAUUUGUAAGACUGGGUUUUGCUAUGUUGCCCAGGCUGUUUUCGAACUCCUGGGCUGAAAUGAUCCUCCCAUCUCCACCUCCCAAAAUUCUGGGACUGCAGGCCCGUUCCACCAGUCUCGGUAGAGACGCGGAAAGCAAGACUCCAGGAGGGGGCGGAAUGGCCGUUUCCAAACCUUUGUUUCUCCCAAUAAUCCCGAGAGCUCAGACAGGCCAUACAAGUGCCAAGCUGGCCUUGGAACCAGGCCUUGACUCCUUUAUCACUGUGGCAUGAUAUCACUGUGGCCGUCCACCUGGGAGCCGAUUUAUCACUGCCGUGGCACAGCUCAGAAAAAAUCAGGUGAAAGUCUGGUUUCUGUAAAAGGAUUCACCACUCACUAUCAUUCGUCUGACCUAGGAGAAACCAAAGAGAUGAUGACUGGAAUCGUUUAGUCAGUGCAGGUGUCUAGAAACAUUGCUGCUAAAUUCAAUCAGUUAGGUCAGUCUGAAAAUACAGAGUCAAGUCAGAAUUUUGGAUAAGCCAUGAUAUUAAAUGUCUAUGUGCCGAGAGUGCCGGUACAAAAUAUGCUAGCCCAUAAAAGGGCUGAAAUGACAAAAAUUUCUAGUCAACCCCGUAUCAAAUCUUUAACCUUCGGUAACAUAGUUACAUAGUCUUUGUAUUGAAAAGAACUACUUGGCUGGCCGCGGUGGCCCAGGCCUGUAAUCCCAGCACUUUGGGAGGC
rnacentral:lncRNA from 10 species